GAUGAACGCUGGCGGCGUGCCUAAUACAUGCAAGUCGAGCGAACAGACGAGGAGCUUGCUCCUCUGACGUUAGCGGCGGACGGGUGAGUAACACGUGGAUAACCUACCUAUAAGACUGGGAUAACUUCGGGAAACCGGAGCUAAUACCGGAUAAUAUAUUGAACCGCAUGGUUCAAUAGUGAAAGACGGUUUUGCUGUCACUUAUAGAUGGAUCCGCGCCGCAUUAGCUAGUUGGUAAGGUAACGGCUUACCAAGGCAACGAUGCGUAGCCGACCUGAGAGGGUGCUCGGCCCCACUGGACCUGAGACACGGUCCAGACUCCUACGGGAGGCAGCAGUAGGGAAUCUUCCGCAAUGGGCGAAAGCCUGCCGGAGCAACGCCGGGUGAGUGAUGAAGGUCUUCGGAUCGUAAAACCCUGUUAUUAGGGAAGAAAAAAUGUGUAAGUAACUAUGCCCGUCUUGACGGUACCUAACCAGAAAGCCCCGGCUAACUACGG
rnacentral:rRNA from 1 species